GCACCGGUGGUGCAUGGUGCACGCUGCCCUGAAGUAAAAAGUCUUCUAAAAUGUCAGGCAGAUCGGGGUUCGACUCCCCACCGGUGCA